UGACCACUCAAGCCUGGCUUGGUAUUGGGGUUCGCGGUCCCGCGGCUCCUAAAAUCAGUGGCGGCGCCAUCUGGCUCUAAGCGUAGUAACCUUUCUCGCUACAGAGUCCCGGUGGAUGCUUGCCAACAACCCCUUAUUUUCUUA
rnacentral:misc_RNA from 1 species